rnacentral:rRNA from 1 species
GACGAACGCUGGCGGCGUGCCUAAUACAUGCAAGUAGAACGCUGAAGAGAGGAGCUUGCUCUUCUUGGAUGAGUUGCGAACGGGUGAGUAACGCGUAGGUCACCUGCCUUGUAGUGGGGGAUAACUAUUGGAAACGAUAGCUAAUACCGCAUAACAAUGGAUGACACAUGUCAUUUAUUUGAAAGGGGCAAUUGCUCCACUACGAGAUGGACCUGCGUUGUAUUAGCUAGUAGGUGAGGUAACGGCUCACCUAGGCGACGAUACAUAGCCGACCUGAGAGGGUGAUCGGCCACACUGGGACUGAGACACGGCCCAGACUCCUACGGGAGGCAGCAGUAGGGAAUCUUCGGCAAUGGGGGCAACUCUGACCGAGCAACGCCGCGUGAGUGAAGAAGGUUUUCGGAUCGUAAAGCUCUGUUGUAAGACAAGAACGAGUGUGAGAGUGGAAAGUUCACACUGUGACGGUAUCUUACCAGAAAGGGACGGCUAACUACGUGCCAGCAGCCGCGGUAAUACGUAGGUCCCGAGCGUUGUCCGGAUUUAUUGCGCGUAAAGCGAGCGCAGGCGGUUAGAUAAGUCUGAGUUAAAGGCUGUGGCUCACCAUAGCUCGCUGUGGAAACUGUCAAACUUGAGUGCAGGAGGGGAGAGUGAAUUCCGUGUGUCGCGGAGAAAUGCGAGAUAUAUGGAGGAACACCGGUGGCGAAAGCGCUCUCUGUCUGAUCUGACGCUGAGGCUCGAAAGCGUGGGGAGAAACAGAUAGAUACCCUUGUAGUCAAGGGCGAACUCCACAGGGAUAUAAUGUUAUCGAUCCGUCGACUCG